ensembl:lncRNA
CCGUAACAGAUGUUUGCUUUUGCACCUGUUGCUGAUUAAAUGUCUGGAUGGGACUUUUGUCAUUGAGACUGAGAACUUAAUGUCCAUUUUUCUAAAAAGCAAACUGAAAAGUGGAUUGUCCUGAGCACAUCACACAUUUCCACUAUCUUGGAUCAUCUGAGAUGAGUUUGGGCCUGAGAAGCUUGGGUCAUGUCUGUAUAGAAUUGAUAAAUAGAUUUCUGCUGGAUUAACAGAGAUUCAAGUUGCAUUUCUAGGUGCAGAAGCAGACUGUGUUAAGUCACAACAGUUUUUAAAAGAGUUCCAGAGGCCAUGUAGUAAUAUUUAACACAAUAGCAUGAUGAUUUUUCAUUCAAUGCCAUCUGAGGGGUCAAAGGUCAUGUACAUUCAGUGGAGGGUGGUGAGACAAUAUCAUGCUUUGCUUGAAAAGAGUUAUCAUGAAGUAUUACUAAUUCAUCAGCUUAUUUUGGAUGGUUUUAAAACACUUUAACUUGGAUAUUCUAUAAGCUUUUAACUGUUAUUUUGGCUCUGUUUCUACGUUUUUGGAAUGUGUUGCAGUCAUUAAAAUCAAAAUUUGUAUGUAUUUACAAAAUACUAUCAAUUUGGUCUGUGGAAAGAUUGGAAAUGUUUUCUGUGUACUUCUGUCAGUUAAUCAAAGGUUAAAGAGAAUUAACAAAUCCCAGAAUCUUGAUCUACUGGAUUUUAUAAAAUGUGGCAACAUUUCUGGAAAUGGGGUUGUGCAUAAAGUAAUGAAGCAAAAACAUGUUUAGAAAAGUAGAUUAUGUCUUAAUAAUUUCAAUUGUAAUCUGUGGUGGUUUUAUUGGCUACAUGUGUUCAGCUAGGUCCUGUAGUGAUUACGUCUAUGACGAUGAUUUAAUUAGGUGCGCUUGUAGGCUCAUGGCACUGUUGCUAUUAUGCGAUAUUUGUGUGGUUAUCAAUUUAAUUUGGCAAAAUAUUUUAUUUAAACUUAUUUUUUGUUUAGAGAAUUUAGACACAUUUUGAGCAUAUAAUACAAGCUGACCCUUAAACCUUAACUUGCACAUUCGUAUUUCAUGUAAAACAGCAGUUAUAAAAGACAGUUACGAUAAGAGGUAACAUAACAUAGUAUAAAUAUUAAGUGUUCUGAUGUCAAACGAUUGAUUUCUUUCAGCCUAACAAAGGUUUUUCUGUCCGUCUCUCUUGGGUUAUGGGCUACUGUGUGAUUCAUAGGUGAUUUUACUCUUUGCUGGGGUUUUUUUUUUUUUCUUUUCCUUU